GACGAACCGAGCGAACGUUGUUCGGAAUCACUGGGCUUAAAGGGCGCGUAGGCGGGCUCGCAAGUCUGUGGUGAAAUCCUCCAGCCCAACUGGAGAAUGGCCGUGGAUACUGCGGGUCUCGAGGGAGGUAGGGGCGUGCGGAACAGAUGGUGGAGCGGUGAAAUGCGUUGAUAUCAUCUGGAACACCUGAGGCGAAGGCGGCACCCUGGCCGAGAUCUGACGCUGAAGCGCGACAGCGUGGGGAGCGAACGGG
rnacentral:rRNA from 1 species